rnacentral:rRNA from 1 species
GAUGAACGCUGGCGGCGUGCCUAAUACAUGCAAGUCGAGCGAACAGACGAGGAGCUUGCUCCUCUGACGUUAGCGGCGGACGGGUGAGUAACACGUGUAUAACCUACCUAUAAGACUGGGAUAACUUCGGGAAACCGGAGCUAAUACCGUAUAAUAUAUUGAACCGCAUGGUUCAAUAGUGAAAGACGGUUUUGCUGUCACUUAUAGAUGGAUCCGCGCCGCAUUAGCUAGUUGGUAAGGUAACGGCUUACCAAGGCAACGAUGCGUAGCCGACCUGAGAGGGUGAUCGGCCACACUGGAACGGAGACACGGACCAGACUACUACGGGAGGCAGCAGUAGGGAAUCUUCCGCAAUGGGCGAAAGCAUGACGGAGCAACGCCGAGUGAGUGAUGAAGGUCUUCGGAGCGUAAAAAUCUGUUAUGAGGGAAGAACAAAUGUGUAAGUAAAUAUGCACGUAGUGACGGUAACUAAUCAGAAAGCAACGGCUAACUACGUG